ensembl:snoRNA
AUUCUUCUGCAGUUCCUAUUGUGAUGACUGAGUUUUCAUGCACGUGUCUGAGAUCUGUCUCCUCUAAACCUUGUUAUGAUAUUGGCACAUUACCCAUCUGAUA